CCUACGGGAGGCAGCAGUGGGGAAUAUUGCACAAUGGGGGAAACCCUGAUGCAGCGACGCCGCGUGAGUGAAGAAGUAAUUCGUUAUGUAAAGCUCUAUCAGCAGGGAAGAAAAUGACGGUACCUGAGUAAGAAGCCCCGGCUAACUACGUGCCAGCAGCCGCGGUAAUACGUAGGGGGCAAGCGUUAUCCGGAUUUACUGGGUGGAAAGGGAGCGUAGACGGCAGUGCAAGUCUGGAGGGAAAGGCGGGGGCUCAACCCCCGGACUGCUCUGGAAACUGUACGGCUGGAGUGCAGGAGAGGUAAGUGGAAUGCCUAGUGUAGCGGUGAAAUGCGUAGAUAUUAGGAGGAACACCAGUGGCGAAGGCGGCUUACUGGACUGUAACUGACGUUGAGGCUCGAAAGCGUGGGGAGCAAACAGGAUUAGAUACCCUAGUAGUC
rnacentral:rRNA from 1 species